UUUAUGUAGGGACACUAUCACUUACUUGAAGAGUUAUGUCUGCAGUCAAGCAAAGCUAUGGUGAAAAAAAUGCUUGUACAGUGUCUCUUAAAAGUUAGAUUUACCCAAGAGCUCAUAAAUGUUCCUAUCAGCAGUGGCGGACAUAAGGCUUACCGGGGGGCAACCUCCGCUACGGCUUGGCGCGGAAAAAUUUGGAAAAAUUAGUUUAAAUUUUGGAAAAAUUUGACCUUUUUUUCGAUUUCGUUAUGGCUUAUUUAUAAAACGUUACAGCUUAGUUUCGUUUCUAGAUCCGCCACUGCCUAUCAGCCAAAUAUAAAACCACACAGUUGGCAUUCAGUGAUGAUAUUCUGGUAUAUAUUGUUGAUUGACGGGCGGGUUUGGGUUGCGGGUCAGAAUGGGUAGUUCAAAACAGGUUGGUUCAAGAAGGGUUAUUUUUUUCCGGGUCGGGCUUGAGCGCUUAACCCAACGCUCGACGUAAAAGCAGCUCUGCGCGUGUGAAAUCGGAGAAGAAAGAAAACCAAAUGGCGGACACAAAGAAGAAAGAAACUACGGUUACCAUUGACAAGAAACUUCUGCAGGCUUUUACGUUUUUUGACCGAAAUCGAUUGGGCUACAUCAGGAUAACUUGAGUUAAUAAUUAAUAUUCACCAUCUUAUCAUGUGAACAAAGCAAUGUCUUAAUACCAUUUAAUUUAUACGUAUUUGCAAGUUGAAGAUUUACGACUGAUCCUGCAUGCAUUGGGGAGGGGUGCGGCUGUGAUGGAGGAGAGCGGUGGAGGGGCUGCUGGUUGUGAGGGAUGACAAUGGGGCGGGGAUGCCGGCGCGGCACAGACAUAAUAUGACAAGAAGAGCUUUUCAGAAAAAACAAACACCUCCUAAACAAAAACGUCUUCAAAAUCACCCGGACAAAGACCCAUUUCAUUAGAAAGGGCUGUCUCCAUCAUCCGCUUUGCGCUUUAUUAUGUCACUGAGCUAUAUUAGUACACUAAGUCAUUUAGGUUAUAACAAGUUAUGUUAUGUGUUAGUGACUUAUGUAUAAAGAUAGUUCCAUUAAUAUACUGAUAUGGACCUUAAUAGGCUUUUGUAUGUGUUAAUGGAAUAUAAUAUGUUACACUAAAAAUUUUAU
rnacentral:lncRNA from 1 species